GGUGACUUAGUCUAGGGGUCGGACGCAACAUUGUGGUUGUUCUGCAAUAGCUGUUGAAGCCGGAGUUCGAUUCUCCGAGUCGCCA